UGUGUCAUGAAUUAUCUCACGCGUUGGCAGAGGGAAUGGUGUCUCUGGUUCGGAAACAUUAUACAACCUAUGAUAAUGCACAUGGGUUCCGUUGAAUUAAUGAGGGGAUGCCAUAUUGCCUGAGUUUGGUUGAGGCUUUUCCAAAAUGGGUC